rnacentral:ncRNA from 1 species
GGGUAAAGCUAGGGGUAUCCAGAAAACUAAAUACUGGAUUGAGAGAGUCUCUUAGAACCUGAUUCGGUUAACACCGACGGAGGGAAGCUUUGCUAGGCACCU